UUUGAUCCUGGCUCAGAUUGAACGCUGGCGGCAGGCCUAACACAUGCAAGUCGAGCGGCAGCACGGGAAGCUUGCUUCCUGGUGGCGAGCGGCGGACGGGUGAGUAAUGCAUAGGAAUCUGCCCGGUAGUGGGGGAUAACCUGGGGAAACCCAGGCUAAUACCGCAUACGUCCUACGGGAGAAAGCAGGGGCUCUUCGGACCUUGCGCUAUCGGAUGAGCCUAUGUCGGAUUAGCUGGUUGGUGAGGUAAUGGCUCACCAAGGCGACGAUCCGUAGCUGGUCUGAGAGGAUGAUCAGCCACAUCGGGACUGAGACACGGCCCGAACUCCUACGGGAGGCAGCAGUGGGGAAUAUUGGACAAUGGGCGCAAGCCUGAUCCAGCCAUGCCGCGUGUGUGAAGAAGGCCCUCGGGUUGUAAAGCACUUUCAGUGGGGAAGAAAGCCUGGUGGUUAAUACCCGUCAGGAAGGACAUCACCCACAGAAGAAGCACCGGCUAACUCCGUGCCAGCAGCCGCGGUAAUACGGAGGGUGCGAGCGUUAAUCGGAAUUACUGGGCGUAAAGCGCGCGUAGGUGGCUUGAUAAGCCGGUUGUGAAAGCCCCGGGCUCAACCUGGGAACGGCAUCCGGAACUGUCAGGCUAGAGUGCAGGAGAGGAAGGUAGAAUUCCCGGUGUAGCGGUGAAAUGCGUAGAGAUCGGGAGGAAUACCAGUGGCGAAGGCGGCCUUCUGGACUGACACUGACACUGAGGUGCGAAAGCGUGGGUAGCAAACAGGAUUAGAUACCCUGGUAGUCCACGCCGUAAACGAUGUCGACUAGCCGUUGGGUCCUUCGCGGACUUUGUGGCGCAGUUAACGCGAUAAGUCGACCGCCUGGGGAGUACG
rnacentral:rRNA from 1 species